UGUCUGUUUUAGGAGUUUGUGGAGGAGCAACAUAAUGUUGCACAUGUGCCCCAGCUGCGGAGUUACUUUGGAAACCAAGGYACAACCAACUUCUCUCUGAGGCUGGCUGGUAUCRGACGUGCUAUGGAGGUGAGAAAGUGUGAAUUUCCCACCUUUUGUAUUUCAUUUGAUGUACAUUUCUGUACUAUUUCUAAAUGUACUGUCUUGUUCUCACAGGCUCUGACAUCCUCAGACAGUACCUCCCUUAAUUACCUCACCCACGCUGGGAGGAUGGUYUUGAGUGGCCUGUCCGAGCUCAACCAGCAGGAUGUGAGGCAGUUUCAGCAGGCCUACGUGGUUGGACUCCAUCUUCAACCUCGAUGAGUCCAUCUAUAAAAGCCCAGUGAGGCUCUCGUGGCAGGUGAUGGUGAAUCUAGAAAUGCAGGUUGACUUCCUCCUGUCCAGCCUGGAUUAAGGGUCCCAAACUGAGCUGAGGAUCCCAAAACACAAAUAAAGUAUUUUGCAUUUAAACAUUAUCUGUCCAUCUGAAACUAAUUUUACAUCAUGUCAAAACAAAUCAAAUCAAAUUGUAUU